CACCACUGCACUCCAGCCUGGGUGAAAGAGUGAGGAGACUCUGUCUCAAACCAACAAACAACAGCAACAAAUAUAUAUAUAUAUAUAUAUAUAUAUAUAUAUAUAUAUAUAUAUAUAUAUGCAAAUUUUGUUGAUAACUUUGCUUUUCCUUUACCACAGGAUUUCUGACAAAUGCAGAAAAGACAAAUGAAGAAAAUCAAAGACAAAUGCAGAAAAAAAAUCAUUGUAAAUGUAUGCUAAUGUGCACAAAAUGUAUAAAGAUGUUAUUUGUACAUUAACAUAAAGUGGGGGUGGUGAGCUGUAAAAAGUAGAGUUUUGUAUACUCUUGAAGUUAGACCAUAUCAAUUAAAAGUAGACGGUUUUAACUUUAAGAUGUUAUAUACAAUCCACAUACUAUCCACAAAUAAAAUACCUAUAGAAUAUAUUCAGAAGGAAAUGAGAAGGGUAUAAAAAUUUGUCACUAUGAAAAAUUAUGGAGCAAAUUAGGAGAAACUAUGGAGCAAAUUAGGAGAAAAAACUGUACAGAAAACAAAUAACAAAAUGGCAAAUGUAAGUCCAUUUCUGAAUUGUAGAAGAUUUCCAUCUGAAAGGCAGAGAAAAUAUUUACAGUUGCAAGUUUUCUAAAGUAAAUUCCCUAAGGAAAGGUAAGUCAGGGGUUUACAGUCAGGUUUUGACUGGAACAAAGACUAAAUUAUUUUCGUAUCAUUGAGAUUUCUCAGGCAGGCAUUUUUAAGCGGCUAGAGUCAUCCUAGUAACAUAGUCAUGAUAGAUUUGAUCAACUCUCUUAAUGUGUAUGUGUGCAGAGGGGCUUGGAUGGAGUCCUUGGUAUCAUGUUGUUAUUUACUUUUUUUAUAUUAAUGUUUGUUUGUGUGUAUGUGUGUUUAUUCAACUUUACUUUUAGAACAGCAGUAGGUUUGCUGCAGAAUUGAGUGGAAGGUACAGAGAUUUUCUAUACAACCUCUGCCCUACACAUGCAUAUCUUUCUGAUUAUCAACAUUCCCCACCAGAAAGGUACAUAUGUUGAAAUCAACGAACCAACAUUGACAAGUCAUUCUCCUCCAAAGUCCAUAGUUUAUUUUACAGUACACUCUUGGUGGUGUACAUUACCUGGGUUUAGACAAAUAUGUAAUGACGUGGAUCCACUAUUAUAGCACCAUAAACAGUAGCUCUACUGACCUAAAUAAUCCCCUGUCCUCUCCCUAGUCAUCCCUCCUUUCUCAAACCCCUGACAAUGACUGAUUUUUUACUGCCUUUGUAGUUUUGCCUUUUCCAGAAUGCCAUAUAUUUGGAGUCAUACACUAUGUAGCCUUUUCAGUGUGGCUUAUCUUAGUGAUAUCCUUUUAAGAUUCCUUCAUGUCUUCUCAUGACUUGAUAGAUUAUUUAUAUUCAGCAAUGAAUAAUAUUUUAUUUUCUUCAUGUACUACAGUCCAUGUAUCCAUAAUUCACCUACUAAAGGGCAUCUUGGUUGCUUCUGAGUUUUGGCAAUUAUAAAUAAAAUUGCUGCUGAAAAUAUCCCGCAGUUUUUUGUACAGACAUGUUCUCAACUUCUGUGAGUAAAUAACAAGGAGUGUUAUUGCUGGAUAAUAUGGAAAGGAUUUUUUUUUUUUUUGAGACAAAGUCUUGCUCUGUUGCUCAGGGUGGAGUGCAGCUGUGCAAUCUGGGCUCACCGCAACCUCUGCCUUCUGGGUUCAAGCAAUUCUCCUGCCUCAGCCUCCCUAGUGGCUGGGAUUACAGGUGCAUGCCACCAUGUUAGGCUAAUUUUUGUAUUUUUAGUAGAGAUGGGUUUUCGUCAUUUUGGCCAGGCUGGUCUCGAACUCCUGACCUCAGGUGGUCUGCCCAUCUUGGCCUCCCAAAGUGCUGGGAUUACAGGCAUGAGCCCCCAUACCCAGCCAAUUUGUUUAGUUUUGUAAGAAACCACCAAGCUGUCUUCCAAAGUGACUGUAUCAUUUUGCAUUCCCACCAACAAUGCAUGAAAGUUUCUGUUGCUAUACAUCCUUAUGAGCAUUUGGUGUCAGUGUUCUUGAUGUUGGUCAUUCUAAUGGGUGUGUGGUAUUAUUGCAUUGUUGUUUUAAUUUGCAUUUUCUUGAUACAUAUGAGAUCGAGAAUCUUUUUAUAUGCUUAUUUUUAUCUGUAUAUCUUCUUUGGUGACUUGUCUGUUAAGGUGGUUGUUCCAUUUUUUAAUUUGGUCUUUUGUUUUCCUAUUCUUGAGUUUUAAAAGUUCUUCAUCUGUAUUGGAUAACAGUCCUUUAUCAGCUAUGUCUCUUUUUUUGCAAAUACUUCUCCCAGUCUGUGGCAUGUCUUUUUAUUCUAUUGACAGUACCUUUAGCAGAGAGGAGCUCUUAUUUUUACAAAAAAGUUGGAAGAAUAGUACAAAGAACUGUCAUGAGCUCUUUAUCCAGAUUCAGGAUAGUUAAAAGUAUUUUGUCCAAUUCGCUUUAUCGUUCUCUCUCUCUCACUUCCAGAAUAUUUAAGAGUAAGUGGCAAUCCUCAUGCCCCUUUACUCCUGAAAAACUCAGCAUGUAUUUAUUAAGAAAAGGAAAUAGGUAACCACAGUAAAAUUAUUUCACUCUGGGAAUUUAAUAUUCAUAUAAAAUCUAAUCACAACCCAUAUUGUGUUUAUUAUAUAAUUAAUAUAUUUUAUUGAUUAUAUAAUUAAUUUAUUAUUUAUUAUGAAAUGAAAAAAAUCAUAUAAGGCAAGAAUGAGCCAGAAGUGAUGUGUUCAUUUCGGUGCAUUUUACCAAAAUGAAUGUGAAUAUUGGUUUAUAUCAGUGUUGGUGAUAUUAACUUUGGUCACCUAGCUAAGCAGUCCUACAAGAUUUCUCCAUGGUAAAGAUACUAUGAUUUUUAUUGUAAGUAAUAAGUAAUAUUUGGGAGAUACUUAGAGACUAUUUAAAUAUAUUUUUCCACAUGAAUCCCUCCACCCACUAGUGUUAACAUUUAUUUAUAAUUUUCUAACUGUGUUAUUCCUUCUGCAUUUAUUGGCUAUCAUUAAAAAUAAGGAAUAGCUUCUCAUUGCACCUUCAUAUUUACGUAUUUAGUCAUUUAUAUCAGUUUGAACUAAUAAAUUAUAUAAUAUUCAGAAAAUUAUAACCCAUUAAUAUAAUUAUUUAUUUAUUUUUCUAUUUUUUAAUUUUUUAAACUGUUUUUUUUUAAAUUUUUUAAAAUUUUUUUAGAGAUUGGGUAUCACUAUGUUGACCAGGCUGGUCUCAAACUCCUGGCCUCAAGCAUCUUCCCAUCUUGGCCUUCCAAAGUGCUGAGAUUACAGGCUUGAGCCAUAAUUCCCAGCCUACAAUAAUGAAAUUUGAUGUAAUAUCACCUUAGUUUCGACCAGUGGGGAUUCAUUCAAACUACUUUCCAGGUCUCUUUGACGUAUUCCUGUCAUUCUUCAAGUAGUCUCUAAAUUUCUAGCACAACAAGUUUUUCCAGGACCAUCAUGUACUUUUUUGCUCCAGACCUGUAAUUGGCUAUUUCUCCAAGGAGCUCUGGAAUCUUUUAUUGGGUAAUGGUAUUCAUAAAUGAAAAUCUGAUUGCUAGCCUUGCUCAUUCCUACUGGGGAAUCAUUGAUUCUAGUUCUUCUCAGUAGAAAAUUAUACUAACAUGUCCAAUAAAAAUCUGAUAUUACAGGAUUAAUGGAUGCAUUCUAGCUCAAAUUGUCUUUUUUCACUAUUUAUUAUUUUCAGCUCUAAAAGUGAGAAUGCUGAAUCUAUACUGAAUGUAUUUACUUAUUUGCUCAAGCCUAGCUUACACAGGAAGUAGUUUCAGAAACACUAACCCAUAACAUUGUUAAAAGAAAAUUUAAUAAAACAUGUUCAAUAUUUGUUUGCAGUUAUUAUUUUGUGAAGAAAAUCCCUAUAGAAGAAAAUACAAAGGUAUUAUUUGUACAAUUCAAUAAAUUUUGAUACAUAUGUGUACCUCUGUAAGUAUCACCCUAAUUAGGAUAUAGGAUAGUUCCACUACACCCAGAAUUCCUUUAGGUCUUCAUCCAGUAAAUUCCUACACCAUGACAGGUGAAGAACAUUCUGAAUUUGUCACCUAACUAUCCAUGUUUGUUCUUGUACCUAAAUUAUUUUAGCUAUAUCUCUUUGGAUUAUUUUUAUAAUGAUUGCUAGUGAUUACAAUCUAUAUUCUUGAUUUAUAAUCAGACAAAGUCUUCUUAGAGCUAGUAUUUUACCACUUUACAGAAAACAUAAAAAUUGAGAAUAGCAUGAUUACAUUUACCUGCAGAUCUUUGCUGCUAUUGCUGUCAUAUAGAUCACAUCUUUAGGUAUCAGAAAAUCUACUAUACAUAUUUUGUUGUAAACAAUUUGCUUAAAGAAAUUAAAAUUGAGAAAACAUAUAUUUAUAUUUGCCUAUGCACUUACUCUUUGUGUCACACUUCAGUCCUUUGUGUAGAUAUGAUAUUUAAUCUGGUGAUAUAAUGCUUCAUUCUGAAGAAGUUUCUUUAACAUUACUUUAAGUGAAAGUUGCAUAGUAAUAAAUUCUUCAUUUUAAUUUAUCUAAAAAUGUAUUUUUCCUUAAUACUUUAUGGAUAUUUUAACUAGUUAUAGAAUUAGGGAUUGAUCCUUUUUUAUCUUCAGCAUUUUAAAAGUACUGUUCCAUUGUGGUGUUUGUGUGUGUGUACUUGAUUAUUUAUAAUGAGAAGGAAGCCAUUAUUUCUAUCACUAUUUCUCUCAAGGUGAUGUUAUGAACUCUGCCUGCUUUCAAGAUUCACAAUUCAUUUUUCGUUUCACUAGUUUGAAUAUGAUUUGCUGAGUUUAUGGUUUGAUUCCAUGAUGACUGAAAUUAACUGAAAUUCCUGGGUCUCUACAUCAAAGUUUUGAACUAAAUUUUGAAAAAAUAAAAAAAAAUUAAAUUUUUUAACCCCUCUUUUCGGGGGAGUCCAUUCCUUCUUUUUGAUUAACUUCAUUACUCGUGAAAGUGCAAUCUUGUGUCUUUCAAGAAGAGUAUAUUCAUGGGUUAGUUUUCUAGGGAUUUAUCAUAUUAGAAUAUGUUAGUUGUGUUUAUACCUGAAAAAAAAAAUCUACUUUUGCAUAAAAUUCUUGGUCACCUUUUUUUCCUUAAUACUCUACAGAAAGGUAAUUCUUAAUCAUUGAGGACAUAUGAUGAAAUAGGUAUGAUGAAAUAGCAUGCUGAAAUAGGUAGGUAACUUUCAAACCCUAAGCCAUAAUUACCAGCUCUUGAUGUAGGCAAUGCUGCUGUUAAUGGGAGUGAGUUCAGCACGUAAGUGAUGAAAAGGUAGAAAAACAUAUGGCUGUUUUUUGUUGUUGUUGUUGUUGUUUUUGUCAAGUAAGGUUGUAUUGAAGUGUGAUGUCAAUUCCCUUAUAUCCUAUGUUUUUAGGUUAUAUAGUUUUCUCCUGUUAUAUUUUUAAAAACUUAAAUUUUCCUUUGUAAUCUGAACACAUUUGCAGUUGCGUAUAGGUGUGGGUCUCACCUUAUUCAGUAUGGAACCCAUCAGUCUGCAUACACAUGAAUUUUUUCAACUUUGGUAAAAAUCUACAGCUAUAGGGUUGAAUAUUUAUUUGCAAUUGUUUUGAUUUGUUGUCCAGAGAUAACUGUAAUUCCUUUUAAAAAUAAUUUCAAGUUUUAUUUCUAAUUCAGGGUGUAAAUGUGCAGGUUUGUUACCUGGGUAUGUUGUGUGCCACUGAGGUGUGAGGUAUGAAUGACCCCAACACCCAAGUACUAAACAUAGUACUAAGUAGGUAGUUUCUCAGACCUUAGCCUGUUCCCUCUCUUCCUGCUUUUAUAGUCUCCUGUGUCUAUAGUUUCCAUAUUUAUGUGUAUUUGUUCCCAGUGAUAAGAUAUCACUUAUAAGUGAGGACAUGUGGUAUGAUUUUCUGUUCCUGUAUUAAUUCACUUAGGAUAAUGGCCUCCAGCUACAUCCAUGUUCAUGCAAAUGACAUGAUUUUGUUAUUUUUAAUGGUUUCAUACUAUUCAGGGGUGUGUAUGUACCACAUUUUUUAUCCAAUCCACCAUUGAUGGGCACUUGUGCUUUUACUCCAUGUCUUUGCUAUUGUGAAUAGCACUGCAACGAACAUGUGAGUAUGUGUAUCUUUUUGGUAGAAUGAUACUUUUCCUUUGGGUAUAUACCCAGUAAUGACAUUGCUGGGUUGAAUGGGAGUUCUGCUUUGAGUUCUUUGUGAAAUUUCACAACUUCUUUCCACAGUGGCUGAACUAAUUUACAUUCUCUUCAACAGUGCAUAAGUGCUCCCUAUUAUCUACAGCCUUGCCAGUAUCAGUUAUUUUUUUUUUUUCACUUUUUAAUAAUAGUCAUUCUGACUGCUGUGAGAUGGUAUCUCAUUGUGGUUUUGACUUGCAUUUCUCUGAUAAUUAGGGAUGUUGAGCAUUUUUCAAAUCUUUGUUAGCUGCUUUUAUGUCUUCUUUUGAAAGGUGGCAGUUCAUAUCCUUUGUCCUUUUUAAUGGGGCUGUUUUUUGCAUGUUAAAUUGUUUAAGUUCAUUAUAGAUUCUGAAUAAUAGAUUUUUUCUGAUGAGUAUUUUGUGAAUAUUUUCUCCUCUUCUGUAGGUUGUAUUUUUACUCUGUUGUUAGUUUAUUUUGCUGUGCAGAAGCCCCUUAGUUUAAUUAGAUUCCACUUGUUCAUUUUUGUUUUUGCUGCAAUUGCUUUUGAGAAAUUAGUCCUAAGUUAUUUGCCAGGACCAGUGUACAAAAUGGAAACUAGGAAACCAGGUUUUCUUCCAGGAUCGUUAUAGCUUGAGAACUUACAUUUGAAUCCUUCAUCGAUCUUGAGUUAAUUUUUGUAUGUGCUGAAAUGCAGGGGUCUAGUGUUAUUCUUCUGCAUAUGGCUAACCAGUUACCCAAGCCCCCUUUGUUGAAUAGGGAGUCCUUUCCCCAUUGCAUAUUUUUCUUAACUUUCUUGAAGAUCAGAUGGCUGUAGGUGUGCAACUUUACCUGGGUUCUCUCUUAUGUUUCAUUGGUUUAUGUGUCUGUUUUUGUGCCAGUAUCGUGCUAAUUUUUUAAAUUAUAACCUUAUAAUAUAGUGUGAAGUCAGAUAAUGUGAUUGCAGCAAUAACACAUUCAGACCAGAUCCACAUCACCAAGCUGGUAACCCAGGAGGAACCAUGGCUGCAGAAGCUUUCCUCCCACCCCAGACUUUUAUCAGCUAGAUGCCAUUGCAGGGAGUGUUUGCCCACCUUCUACUUCCCAAUAUCUGGAUUGCCCUUCAUUGUUACAUUGGAUUCCCAUUUUCCUUCUUGAAUGAAAUCUCAAAGAGUUGAUAAUUAUGCACUAUUUUGCUAUUUCCAAGUGGCUGGGGCAUGCCCAAAGCCUCUAAUCCACCAUUGUUUUAUUAGGAAUUCUGGGUUUUUUUUGUUUUCUCUCUUUCAGAAGUUUUUGUUUUUGUUUUUUCUUAGUCAGAUGGUGCCAUCACAGUUUCCGGAAUGAAGCAAUAGACAAAUGAAAAGCCUUCCAAUUUGAGCCAGGUGUCUGUUGUUUAAGCACUUGCUAGUUCUUGGUAGCUCAUGCUAGUUUUCCUGUUUUCUCUGGAGGGAAGACCAGAAGGUGAUGCUGGGAAUCAGUCCCCAGUGCUCUCCUUAUGUGGACUAUUGUGAGGCACAUACAUACCCUCACUGCCUCUGCUCUUAGAGGGGCAGACUUCAAAACAAAAGGGAUGAGUGUGGGGGACAUGUGCGUGGGGGUUUCCAUGGCCACUGGCUGAUCCAACCUCACCACAUCUCAACCUAACUAAACACACCCCUUCGGGGAACUUAGAACCGUCUCAGCUGAUCACCACCUUGGAGGUUUCCUGGGGUGCAGCCUCAAGUUGGCACUGCUAACUGCUGCUGCCACCAUCACUGCUGCAAAAGAAUAAGGUGGGACUAUAAUUCUUAAGUUGAAUACCCAUUUUCUUGAUCUGCAUAGAAACUACUCACUCGUUUAAUUUUUAUUUUUUGGCAGCUUAAGGAUGUUUAUCUUACAUUUAUGACUUGCUUUUUCUUUUUCAUGGAGGGCAUGUUUUCCAAUGUCUCAUUGGUAAUACCAGUCAGAUUUCUUUUUAGUAGUUAUACUUCUAUGAAUAAUUUCAGGACGAUGUGUUAAGCAAGACUUCAGAAGCAGGUUCAUUUCCCUAGGCCCACCAUAUAUUUCAAAGAAUCCUUAUAAGACUUUUUUGUUCCUGCUAAAGUAUCCUGGAAUCAUAAGAGAGAUGUAUGCAGUGUUUUCCAUGAGAUAAUAUCAUUUGAAUUGGCCCAAGUAAUGUCAUAUAAUUUUAAUAGAAGUGGAAAAUCAGAAUUCUUCAUUCAAUGAGUUUCAUGAUUGAGAAGGAACACUUUACAGGUUUUCAUGGCACAUUCUUUUUUCACAGAUACAAUGCUUAAAUUCUUGACUGCUCAGUAAGAAACAUGAGGAGCUACUGUGCUUACUCUUAGAUACUGACUGUAUUGGUAUUUUUUUCCCAAAACAACAGAUGAAGAAAGUUGAUAUGACUAUAUUAUAUUUCAAUUUCUACUAUGUUAAAAUUAUUUAUCUAUGACAACUGUUUAAACAUUCUAUAACACUCUAAUCCUGGGGAGUUUCUGAAAAUAUCUUAAAUUUUUAGCAUAAACUCUAGAUGGUCCAUUGGUCAGUACCUACAAACCAACAGAGAAUUCUUUUUUGUCUAUGUACUUUUCUGCGCUUUCUAGUAUGCAAUAUACUGCUACCAUUAUUCAUUUGGCUUCAAGCUGCAUUAGGAAUAGAGGGAGAGAUAGUUGUUAGUAUGGUUUCAAUGUAUGUGUCUCUCCAAAUUUCACAUGUUGAAACCUAAUCCUUAAGAUGAUGAUUUUAAGAGGUGGGUCUUUGGAAGAUAAUUAGGUCAUGAGGCUGGAGUCCUCAUGAAUGGGAUUUGUGCCUUUACCAAAAUGGCUUGAGGAAGCUUGCUAGCCCUUUUUUGCUCAUCCACUAUGUGAGGACAGAGCAAGAAUGUGUCAUCUGUGGGGAAUGGGCCCUCACCAGACACCAAAUUUUCUGGAGCCUUGAUCUUGUACUUUCCAGCCUUCAGCACUGUGAUAAAUAAAUUUCUGUUGUUUAUAAAUUACCCAGUAUAACAUGUUUUGUCAUAGAAGUCUGAACUGACAAACGCAGUUGUAUUUUCUUGAGAGUAAAUAAAAAAACAGUUCUAAGGGUGAGCUGUGUUUCCGAGAAUAAUACUCUGAAUAUCCAUCUGUCUGGCAAGACUGCUAUUUAUAUUGCUCAUUGUGAAAUUUGUUUCAGCUCUUUUGCUCUUGUUAUGAGUAAACAUUCCUUUCCAACUCUACUACUAGGUAGUAUAUCAGCCUUGUUUAGGUUUUUGAAAAAGGAGCUAAUGUUUUUUUAUCUAUUUUUGUGUCUCCUGAAUAUUAUAAGAAAAUUGAGAAAGUGGUGUAAGGAUGCCAUUUUAAAAACUCAGAAAAUCAUGAUUGGAUUAUUGAAGAAAAUACCACAUAUCUUAAUUUUCCCCUUCUUUCUUUUACAAUAACAGCAUUUUUUCCUUGAAUAUUCACUAGAGAAUUGAUGAGCAUUUUAAUGUUUGUAUUUUAUAAAAUGUGCCAUAAAAUUUUGUCAUUUUUUUCAUUUUUUGAAACUAUUCAUACAUUUGUUAUAUUUUCUUCAAGUUAAAUUGAGAUUAAUCCAUAAUAUUUUAAAGGAAAUACUAUGCAGAAAAUGAAUUACAAGGGGAACAAUAAUUUGAGGAAAAUUUCUUACUUUGACCUAAAAGUUUACUUCCCUGUUAUGAAACUCUAUCCUAAGAAAAUAAAUUUUCUACCACAAGCAAUUGUAACAAAAGCCAAAACUGACAAAAAUGGGGUCUAAUUAAACUAAAGAGUUUCUGCUCAGCAAAAGAAACUAUCAUCAGAGUGAACAGACAACCUACAGAAUGGGAGAACAUUUUUGCAAUUUAUCCAUCUGACAAAGGUGUAAUAUCCAGAAUCUCCAAGGAACUUAAAUUUACAAGAAAAAACAAACAACCCCAUCAAAAAGUGGGCAAAGGACAUGAACACUACUCAAAAGAAGACAUUUAUGUGGCCAAAAAACAUAUAAACAAAGCUCACCAUCACUCAACAUUAGAGAAAUGCAAAUCAAAACCACAAUGAAAUGCCAUCUCACACCAGUUAGAAUGGCGAUCAUUAAAAAGUCUGGAAACAACAGAGGCUGGCAAGGAUAUGGAGAAAUAGGAACACUUUUACAUUGUUGGUGGGAGUGUAAAUUAGUUCAACCAUUGUGGAAGACAGUGUGGUGAUUCCUCAAGGAUGUAGAGCUAAAAAUACCAUUUGACCUAGCAAUCCCAUUGCUGGGUAUACAUCCAAAGGAUUAUAAAUCAUUCUGCUAUAAAGACACAUGCACACAUAUGUUUAUUGCAGCACUGUUUAUAAUAGCAAGGACUUGGAACCAACCAAAAUGCCCAUCAAUGAUAGAAUGGAUAAGAAAAUGUGGCAUAUAUAGACAAUGGAAUACUAUGCAGCCAUACAAAGGAAAGAGUUCGUGGUUUUUUUUGCAGGGACAUGGAUGAAGCUGGAAACCAUCAUCCUCAGCAAACUAACACAGGAACAGAAAACCAAACACUGCAUGUUCUCACUCAUAAGUGGGAGUUGAACAAUGAGAAUACAUGGACACAAGGAGGGGAACAUCACACACUGGGGCCUGUCAAGGGGUAGGGGGGAAAGUGGAGAGAGAGCAUUAGGACAAAUACUUAAUGCACGUGGGGCUUAAAACCUAGAUGACAGGUUGAUAUGUGCAGCAAACCACAAUGGCACAUGUAUACCUACAUAACAAACCUGCAUGUUCAGCAUGUGUAUCCCAGAACUUAGAGUAAAAUAAAAAAAAAUGUAAAUAAAUGAAAUUGUUUAAAAAUGGAAAAUAAUAAAUUUUCUUAUCAUUCAAUCAAAUUUUAUUUAGCCCUUGAUUCUGCAAACUAUUCUAGGCACUAUGGUGGAAUCUAAGAUAAGACAUAAUAUUCUUUUUAGUUCAGGUCUAUAUAAUCUUGUUGAUACUUGCUUUAAUGUGACCUUAUUGAAUAUAUUAGGUUAACUGAAUUUGUGAGAGUAACCUAAUCUACUUCAGGUAAAUAUUUAUUAUCAAAUUUUUAUUCAUUAAUUUUACAGUCCUUCACCCAGAAACCAUUAUGAGUAGUUACUGAAUAAUUCGGUGGGAAUUCAAAAAGGAAUACUGCAUUUCUUCUGACCCGCCUAAGGUGUUCACAUACUAAUGAAGAAGACAGAAGCAAACACCAAAGAUUAUAGUAACUAAUAUUAACAUGAACAAACACCUAUGGGAGUAAAGAGAAGAAAGUGAUUAAUUUCUUCUUGUCUACUUUCUUGUCUACUCCUUGAGAGCAAAAACUAUUUAUUUCAUGUUCAAAAAAUAUCACCCAUAGACAAGUGCCUGUCUCAUUGUAACCAUUCAAUAAAUAUUUGUUUAAUACAUAAAUAAAUACAAUUUUAAAAGUAAUUUGAAAUGUUUCACAGAGAAAGUUAUAUUUGUAUAAGUCUUAAAAGUAAGAAAGGAUACUUCCAGGAGAAAAGUGGUAGAAAGAGCAUUCCAGGCAGAAAGGAUAACGUGAGCAAAAUUAUACAAAGAUAAAAAUGAAUGGUGUGACUGAGGAGAAGUAAUUAUUCGGUUAUAGCAAAUAAUGCCAUAUAUACUUAAGGCUUUUUCUAAAAAAGGUUUUUUAGGCUCAGAUGAUGAGUGAAGAUGUAUGACAACCUAAGGAAAUGGGACAUUAUUCUGUAGGUAAUUAGAAAUCACUGAUGAUUUUCAAGUUACAGGAUGAGAACUUGUCUGAGUUCUUUGUACUAAUGGAGAGGAAAACAGGAAAGAGUAUGUCAAAAACCUCUGUAUUUUUAAAGCAUUGUAAAAAUAAAGAUUCAAAAAUACUCUCAACACAUUGUACAAAAUUUUAUUCAAAGAUUAAGAUGUGCUGCUUUCCAUACAGGUAAUUUUGUUCAAAAGUUGGCAUCUAACCUCUUAGACAAGCUGAGUAGUAACCAAAUGAUGCCAUGUGUUACUGUGCUUUUAUUUUUAACCUCAUGAACCUCUGAUAUUUUAAUUCAAUAUCAGAUUAUUUCUUUGUAGGAGAUGCUUUGGGGAUAUGGACAGGAAUUGUAUUUAUGAACUGUAGUGGCCAUUAGCCAUUUCCAAUUUAGUGGAAUCAGAACUUGUUUUUAUAAUCACACAAAUGCUCUGGGUUUAAAAACUACUUCUUUAGGAGUAUGUGAGGACUUACAGCCAAUAAUGUUUGUCAUUAGCUUACCAUAAAAAUAUCCAGGGUUUAUGACUUGAUGCCUUCUAUUUUUGCUGCAAUCCUAGUGACUAAUAUGUACAUUUAUGAGCUGUAUUUUAUCAUUUGAAAGACCUUGAAAUAUUUUUUUUAUCAGUAGGAAGUUGGAUAUUUUCCAUGAGCAUAAGAAAAAGCUCUAAAUAAUAUAUUCAGAAAGCUUUAAAAUAAUCAGUAGACGGUUUUAAAACAAAAACUAAAGAUACAGGAGUGAGGAUGAUUCUAAUGACCCAUUAAUGCUCCUGCCUCCACUGCAGUCAUUAUAGCACAAAAAAAAUCAGCUUUAAAUUCUUUCUGUAGCUGAGGAUGUACAUGUAGUUUCAAGCUGCCCUUUCAUGACAGCUGCUUUGCAAUAUAGAUAUAUAUAUUUCAGAAUAAUGUAUUUUAAAAAGCAUGCUAUUGUAACAUUUCUAUGUAUACUUCCCAACUGUCCUUCACAUCUGUUGUUGUCCAAAGGUGGUGUAUGUCUCCUCAGUAUAAUAAUUUUCAGGUCCAUAGUCAUGCAAAGUUAAAUAUGUACACUUGAAAGAUAAGCUGUAUAGGUAAACCAAAAUAUGAUUUUGUUGACUUUAAGAAUUAUUUUAAUUGGUUUACGAAUUUAUAUUCACUUAUGUAAUCUUUAAGUGCUUUAAGAUACUACAUAUGUGAUACCAAAAAAAAAAAAUCAUUAGUCAAGGCCAAAGUAAUUGUUAGCAGUAUUUAAUGCAUGCAAGACAUCGUAUUUUGGUCACUGAUAUAAUCAUUUAUGAGUAACCUAUUACAAUUUGCACAGAAGUGACCUUUUCCUUGUAAGUAAAGGGCACAUUUUACAGCUUUCUGAACAUGUCUUAUCUACUUAAGAAGUUUGAGAAAAUAUAAGAUGUGGUGACAUUUAAUUUUAUUCUAGUUCAUUGCCAUUAACUUCCUGAUGCUGACUUUUAGAUAGUCAUAUAUGGUCCUUUGUUAAGACAAAAAAUAAAAACUCCCUAUAUCACUGAAACUUGUUAAAGUAUGAAGAAAAUAAGAAAAAGAUUGAAGAGUUUAAUAAAUGCUUGUGAUUAUUAAUACUGAGUGUCAACUUGAUUGGACUGAAGGAUACAAAGUAUUGAUUCUGGGUGUGUCUGUGAGGGUGUGGCCAAAAGAGAUUAACAUUUGAGUCAGUGGGCUCCACAUACUUAAAUUCACAUAAAUAGUAGAAAGAUUACAAAAUAGAAAAUGCUUCUGUUUCUGAGCUUUUUUCCAAUGUUGCAAUUUAAUCCAGAAUACAAUUCCAUUCCCAACUAUGCCACACUUUUUAAUAUACUCAGUGUCUGGCCUUGAAUCCUGUGGAUCAAUUCAGCUAUGAAUUUAACAAAAUAUGGAAGCUGUCUACGAGCAUAUGUUCAACCAUGCAUUUGCUAUCCUCCUCUCCACAGUGUGUAAUGGAUUUGGACAUAAAAUUUAAGGUAUUUCACAGGCUGCUUGCUAUGUAUGGAAAAUCAGAGUUCAGAAUGAGGUUUUCAUUCUAGUUAAUUUAAUGUUUGAAGUGUGUGUGUCAGCUAUAUGAGAGAUGGGUAGUUAUACUGUGUGUGCAAUAAAAGAAUCAAAUCUUCCAUACUCCUCCUCUAUGCUUAGCCUUCCUUGAAUGUGUUCAUUAAACUGAUAAAUGAUUUCCAACAAAGAACAUUAGAAAUAGUUCAGACAUUGGAGAAUAAAAAGAGAAUGAGAAAAACUGAAAUUGAAGUUAGAAUAUAAUAGAGAAUAUUCUAUUACAAACCUCGGUCUUAGUAAUUGUUAUUUUGAUACUGCAAUUAUUUUCCACUGUUGGCUAUGAUUAUAUUUCAAAUGUUAAAUUUUUAAAAAUCAGACCCUUGUACUAAUUACAAAUGUGAAUGCAAAAUAUCUGAGACAUGUCUGUCAAUUUAGAAAGUUUAUGUUGCCAAGGUUAAGGAUGUGCCUGCCUGUGACAAAGCCUCAGGAAUCCCUGAGACAUGUGCCCAAGGUGGUCAGGGGUACAGUUGGUUUUCAUACAUUUUAGGGAGAUAUGAAACAUCAAUCAAUAUGUGUAAGAGGUACGUUAAGUGGUCUGGUAAGGUGGGACAACUCCAAGCAGGAGCUUCUGGGUUAGAAGUAGAUAAGGGAAAAAGGUUGAAUUCUUUUGAGUCCUUGAUCAGUCUUCCAUUGAAUACAGAAUUCAGUCUGGCUCACUGAAUGUGCACUUUUACAUAAAUAAUAGGAAAGAGGGAGUGUGGGGGUCCGUCCCACAGACCCUAACCCAACGAUGGAUGAAUAAUGUACACUGACACAGAUAUUAUGCUUGUCAGUCUGGCUGAGGGUCUGGGCCGCUUACAGACUCCCAGGAGAGUGUUGUAAAGAGUUGCAACCGUGGCUCCAACUUGCUGGCCUUUCCAGCAUUUAUUCAGCCCACAUUAAAUGACAAAAGUCUCAAUAAACACCACUAGAAGGUAAUUACCAUUGCCAACCCCUGAAUAGAGAGCAAUCAUGCACCCGUGGAUGGUCAAAAGUCAGUCUUAGGACCACAUGAGCAAACAAGCUAUUUAGAUAGACUCCUCUACAUUCCUAUGUUAGUUACCCUUGUUAUAGCUCAAAGAGGAUUAGGCUGCCUUCAGCCAUUAACUCUAUCCUGAAGCUUUUGCAAAAACCUUCUGGCCCUCCAAGAAGGUUUAUUUUACAAAAUUUCCCACCAUCCUGACUGAAUCCCUAACUCUUCCCCUUUUCUGUUUUCUGCAUCAGGUCUUAUUGAUUGGAGAGCACAGAUGUAUGCAGCAGCAGGUUUGUCAGGCGUGGUGGUCAUUGCUCUUAUUCUGGCUUUGCAUCCUAGAAUUAGUAAAUAAAAUAAGACAAUCAUAAGUAUAAUUAGCAACAUUCUUUUCCAAUCAAAGAGUGACCCCAGGAGUGGGGGUCUAACCCGGAGAGGUGAUCUUGCACAUCCUUCCAUAUGGCCGUUUGUUGGGUGUGUAGAUCUAUAGUGUGAAGGAAUUCUAAAAUUUUAGUUUUAAGUUGCUUUAUGUCUGCUGUUAAAUUAUCAUGAAAGGUUCCCCAGAAGUGUUGUUUCACCUCAUCCCAACUAGGUAUUGAUUGAUUCCAUCAUAGAGAAGUGACACAGAUAUGUUUAUGCUCCCAGUCGCAGUUUAAUUGCUGUUGGAAUGCCAGGGCAUCUUGUUGCUCCCCCACAUAUUCCGAAGCAGCCUCGAGGGCUUGCAGACGUGCAAGAAUUUUUUGAUCUAUACCCUGCUGUAAGAGAAGUUAAUUAGACCCAUUUUGGCCAGAGUAUGUACAAAGGCAGCUGUUUGUACUGACUCAGUAACAGAUGCCACAGCAAUACUAACAGUCGCCAGGAUGACUAUGGCUGAGGCUAUAAAGACUAUAGACUAUAAAGACUAUAAAGGCUGUAAGUGUAACUAUGAAUCUUUUGUGUCUGACCUGGUAUAGAGCAUGUUCUAAGGUGGCAAGGGCAGAGGAACCUUGCUAAUCAUGUGUCAAAUUGGUAGGAAUGCCUCAGAUUGUCUCCUUAAUACCAUGACACUAGUAACAUUUAGAUCAGAUAUAUUGUAAUUAGUGAUAUAUAACACAAACCAAGCCUGUCCCUGCACCUGGGUCACAAACGCGGAGUUUUGGGGUGUAAUGGAAAUAUUGGUUCCCAUAAGGAAACAUAUGGAUGGGUAGUACAAAUUAGGCAUAAUCAUAAUCAAAUUCAUAAUCAGUGUGAUUAUGAAUAAAGGUUAUAGUAUAGUUGUUACUGGAAUUAUGAUAUGUCCCAUGCCAGGUGUCAAUGGAGGUGCCAAGAUGUCCCAGGAGCCAUAAAAUAUCUUGGGGUGGCAUGGAUUUUACUUGGGGUCUGGGAUAUCCCAUCCCCUCAUUGGCCCAAAUCAUAGGGGAACAGGACGUGGCUACAAAACUGUGAUUGAUGCCAUGAUGGAUGAGGACAUUAGUAAGGCUGCCCUGCAAAUGGCCGUGGGGGCUUCAGUCUAAAAUGUUAUAAUUGCCUAACUGGAGGCUACAGGCUUGUCCCCCAUGACAGACCUCCUAGCUAAAGUGAAAUCAAUUACUUUCCCGGCUUUGUCCUUUAACACAGGAAAGAAUGUUUGGGAAAGCAGCAUUUAUUGCAUUACCUGGUUUUAGGCUACCUGCAGCUAAGGCUGUUAAGGCAUUUCCUUUGCCAUGAUGUAGCCAUAAUAAGAGUUGGGUCACUGAGGAAAACUGAAAACACCUGCAGGUCCAACUGGGAUAGGAGUAGAUUAAUGUACAAAAAGUAGAUGCCUAGCCGGGCAUGGUGGCUCACGCCCGUAAUCCCAGCACUUUGGGAAGCUGAGGUGGGUGGAUCACCUGACGUCGGGAGAUCGAGACCAGCCUGACCAACGUGGAGAAACCCCGUCUCUACUAAAAAUACAAAAUUAGCCAGGUGUGGUGGCACAAGCCUGUAAUCCCAGCUAUUCUGGAGGCUGAGGCAGGAGAAUUGCUUGAACCUGGGAGGCGGAGGUUGCAGUGAGCCGAGAUCGUGCCAUUGCACUCCAGCCUGGGCAACAAGAGUGAAACUCCAUCUUUAAAAAAAAAAAAAAAAAAAGGGCCAGGUGCGGUGGCUCACGCCUGUAAUCUCAGCACUUUGGGAGGCUGAAGCAGGUGGAUCACGAGGUCAGGAGAUGGAGACCAUCCUGGCUAACACGGUGAAACCUCGUCUCUACUAAAAAUACAAAAAAAUUAGCCGGGCGUGGUGGCGGGCUCCUGUAGUCCCAGCUACUCACUCGGGAGGCAGAGGCAGGAGAAUGGCAUGAACCUGCGAGGCAGAGCUUGCAGUGAGCUGAGAUCGCGCCACUGCACUAGGGUUAGAGCCUUUAUAACUUACACACAGUGGGAGGAUAGUGGUGAUAUGUAGUGUUAUCUGGUACCUUAGUCCAAUGUGUGCCAUUAUUGAGGGACCCACUGGGGGUAAAUCUAUCCCUCCUAGCCAAGCAGUCACAUUAUUAUAGGCUGGGAAGGCGGUGUCUGCCCAGGUGACAGGGCAAAAGAAAGGCAGAUCUAAUGAGCCCAAUAGAGUGUAGCAGGUGCAGGUGGCAGACAAAGCGAGAGCAUAAAAAGGAUCAAUACCCUACGUGAGUUGCAAUGUACAACAGAAAGCAUAGCAAGGAGCAAAUUACCUGGAGUAAAUGGUGUCUGUGUCUGAAGCAGAAUUUGUUCAGCCUCCUGAGUUGUCCUCUUCGGCAUCCCCCAGGUAACAUCCGGGGCUUGUGUCGUCCGUGGAAGCUGCAUCGUCCAGGGCUGCGGGUCCGGUAGGGUUGGUUCCUUCAUCUCUGCUAUCAGGUUGGGUCCUAGCCACACCAUGGUAUGGUUUGAUGUGUCGUGCUGGAAUCCACAGGGGACCUGAGGGGGUGUGAACACAAGCAUACCCUCUUCCCUAUGUUAAUAAUUCACUUGGACCACACCAUACGUUACUGUUCACAUCUUUCCAUAAAACUGAAGGUUUUAUGCUUUGAGUGGUUUUAGCAAAGCGCUUUUCUACAGCUGAUUGAAAUUUGUCAUCUAAAUUUAGAAAAUUAAGGGUAAAUAAGGCUUGUGCCAAUAGUGUUGCAGGGUCUUUACCCAUACUCUCCCUUUUCUGUUUUUUGAGCAUAUUUUUAAGUGUGGAGUGGGCACAUUCUUCUAUGGCCUGUCCUUAGGGGUUAUGUGGGAUGUCUGUGGAAUGUUGUAUAUUCCACAUGUGACAAAAUUGUUGAAAUUGUGAGCUGGCAUAAGCUGGACCAUUAUCAGUUUUAAUUUUUGUGGGCCGUCCCAUAAACGCAAAAGUUAGAAGAUGUUUAAUGACAUACCGGGUUGAUUAUCCAGGCAAAGCAUGGGCACUAAUUAAGUGAGAAUUGGUAUCAAUGGAUACAUGUACAUAUCUAAGUUUUCCAAAUUCAGGGAUGUGUGUAACAUCUGUUUGCCAUAAUUGAUUAGGUUCUAGUCCUCUAGGAUUAACACCUGUGGAAGGAGGGGACUUGCCUGUGAGCUGGCAAUCUGGGCAUUGUAGAAUAAUUUGUUUACCCAGCCUCUGGGUAAGUUGAAACUGUUUAGAUAAGUUUCUCCAAUUUUGGUGGAAAAAUUGAUGCAAUUGUGUGGCUUGGUCAAGCAGUGAUGUGAUAAUCUGAAGGUCUACUUGAUUAUCGCCAUAAAAUAAUGGGCAAGGCAGAGAGCUGUGGGCUCGAAUGUGUGUGAUAAAAAUAGGAUGUGUACAUUGAUCUAGCAAUUGCUGAAGUCAAAGAAAAAGAGCACACAGGGUGGGCUCGAGAGUGGACUUAAUUAAGGCUGUUUCAAGGUUCUGCAAUAAAUAAACAGAGUAAGCUGAGUCACUCACAAUAUUUAUGGGCUGAGUGGAAAAAGUUUCCAAGGCCAAUAUCAGAGCCCCAGUCUCAGCUCUUGGAGUGCUAGCAAACCCAGAUUGAGUGAUUGAAUUAUGUGGUCCCUACCAGACUGCUGCUUUUCCAUAUUUACCAGAACCAUCAGUAAACAGUGUUAAAGCAUUAGGUAUGGGGGAGUGAACUAUUUUUGUGAACAAGAUUACCAGAGUAUGAGAUAAGAAAUUAAGGAUUUUAUCAGCAGGGAGGACAUGUUUUAUUUGUCCUGUGUAAUCAGAGAAAGCUAUUUGCAGAUCGAUAGAUACUGGCAAUACUGCUUCGAAUUGUGUUUUACUUAAAGGAAUCCUGAUGACAUCAGGGUCAUAACCUAGUAACUGAUUGCAUCAUUUGUGGCCUGAAUAGAUGACUUUAGUAAGUAACCAAAUAUAGGGAGAUAGUGUUUUAGUCCCGGUAUGUGAGCAAAAAACCCAUUCUAGGAAGUGUAGCCCGGGGGCCAUCUGUCCUAUUAAUCCUGUAUGGGAGUCUUUAGUGGGAAAAAUAAACAAUUGAAUUGAAUACCAUCGAUCAACGUGAUCUAGCUGCCUCUGAGAGACGGUUUGCUCUAUUACCUUGGUUUCCCUUUUUGCUGGAGGGGUUAAAUAUCUGGGAGAAUCCACAGCUGGAUUGCCCUUUAAGAUAGAAAACAGGUUUUGCAGCUUAUCGGUAGAUAUGCCUAAGGUGGGGCGGAGCCAAGUAAUAUCGCCUAGUAAUUUCUGAUAAUCAUUUAAGGUGUGUAAGUUGCUAGUAUUUAAUUUAACCUUUUGAGGUCUUACUGACCAGGAAGUUAGUAUGUACCCAAGAUAUCUCCAAGGAGAAGACAUCUGUACUUUCUCAGGUGCAAUGAUUAAACCUCUUAGCUGUGUAUUCUUUACAACAGAGGUGUAUAAAUUUAAAAGCAUUGGCUCCAUUGGGGCUGCUAGUACAAUAUGAUCCAUAAAAUGAAUAAUCUUGCAAUCAGAAAACUCUUUUCUACUAGAGAGCAAAGCUUGAUUUACAUGAUACUGACACAUGGUAGGACUGUUUAGCAUUCCUUCAGGAAGCACUUUCCAAUGAAAUUGACAAGCUGGCUUGUCAUUAUUGAUAGCUGGUAUUGUAAAUGCAAAUUUUUCUCUGUCCUGUUCUGCUAGGGGAAUCGUAUAAAAGCAGUCUUUUAAGUCAAUAAUGAUUAUAGGCCAAUCUUGAAGAAUUGCCGCAGUUGUGGGCUUUCUGUAAUUUCUCUCCUUUCAGAGGUUACUGUUUUACUUAAAUUGGAUUUGGAGAGAGUUGCAUUAGGGGUAGGAGAGACAUAACAGCUGUGGCCAUUAUCAGAAAGAGGUAUUUUAAAUUCUUAAAUUUUACUUAAAUCUUAGCAGAGAAUUAUAAUCUGGGAUGUCACUUGUAUACAAGGAACACAUGAAAUUUUGCCGUGGGCCGCCUGCAAAGCUGGAGAGCUGAGCAGGUGGACCCCGGGGCGGUGGCCACGUUGCUCUUGCAAACGAGCCACUUUUUGUCUGCGCUGCUUUUCACCUGUGCCGCUUCUCACUUGUGUGUUCCCCUCCCUCCCCCCACCAUGCAGGCUGAGUUCCCGGGAGCUUUUGCUGGCUUUGAGUUUGUGAGCUUCCCUGCUGCCAAGCCUUUCUUUCUAUCUACUGCUCACUUGGCCCCACAGCUCCAUUCUCUAAUGCCUUUUCUUAACUCUUUAUGUACCUGAUUGGCUCAUUGAUUUUGCAUUACCAGGCAGGCUAAGAGCUCCCCUUCUAAUGCCGCUUGCUUAAGACAGGGUUGCAUAGCUGUAAUGUAUCUCUCGCCUUUUUUUCUAUUUAUUGGAGGAGGAGGCACAGGCAAGACCUCCAUUUCCUCUUUGUUAUUUUGGCCCUGUGAUAUUGGGGCUGAGGGACAAGGAGGCGGUAAAGUAGGUGACUAUUCCUCCUCCUUCCUCUUUUUAGGCUCUUCUGUGUAUAAUGGGACCAAAGCCAUCCUUACUAGACCCCAUAGUGUUAAAGAUGAUACUGGGACCCAUUGCCAUUGCACAUCAUGUUGUUUAAGAUUUCUCCCUACUUGUUCCCAGAGCUCUACAUCUAGCGUUCCUUCCUUUGGGAACCAUGGAUUAUGAUUUACAACAGUUUGCAUUAAGUCCCUUAAUUGAGCCUGCAAAACCGAGGCUCCACUAGCCUUAAGCAGCUGUUUCAAUACUUUUAUAUACUGAUUCUGUUGCGCUGAUAACUGUUGUCCCAUGAUGAAACCUUAGCCUGAACAAUCCCCCACCAAACUUGGAAAUCCCUAGUGGACACCAAUGACUUACUGAUUACUCACUGACCGCAUGGUCCUUUUCACUUCCGUUUUUGGGGGGUCCAUUGUGCUUCUUUCACAACGUUCCUCACACAUGCACCAGCUGCGGGGGUGAGUCCCACAGACCCUGACCCAAGGAUGAAUGAAUAACGUACACUGACACAGAUAUUAUGCUUUUCAGUCUGGCUAAGAGUCCAGGCUGCUUACAGACUCCCAGGAGAGUGCUGUAAGAGUUGCAACCUUGGACCCAACUCACUGGCCUUUCCAGCAUUUAUUCAGCACACAUUAAAUGACAAAAGUCUCAAGUAAACACCACUUGAAGGUAAUUACCAUUGCUGCCCCCCCACCCCGAGUAGAGAGCAUCUACAUUCCUAUGUUAACUACCCUUGCUAAGACUGGUUCAACAUAUGAAAAUCAAUAAACAUAAUCCAUCACAUAAACAGAACCAAAGACAAAAACCACAUGAUUAUCUCAAUAGAUGUAGAAAAGACCUUUGACAAAAUUCAACAGCCCUUCAUGCUAAAAACUCUCAAUAAACUAGGAAUUGAUGGGACAUAUCUCAAAAUAAUAAGAGCUAUUUAUGACAAACCGACAGCCAAUAUCAUACUGAAUGGGCAAAAACUAGAAGCAUUCCCUUUGAAAACUGGUACAAGUCAAGGAAGCCCUCUCUCACCACUCCUAUUCAACAUAGUGUUGGAAGUUCUGGCCAUGGCAAUAAGACAGGAGAAAGAAAUAAAGGAUAUUCAGUUAGGAAAAGAGGAAGUCAAAUUGUCCCUGUUUGCAGAUGACACAAUUGUAUAUUUAGAAAACUCCAUCAUCUCAGCCCAAAAUCUCCUUAAGCUGAUAAGCAACUUCAUCAAAGUCUCAGGAUACAAAAUCAAUGUGCAAAAAUCACAAGCAUUCCUAUAUACCAAUAACAGACAAACAGAGAGCCAAAUCAUGAGUGAACUCCCAUUCACCAUUGUUUCAAAGAGAAUAAAAUACCUAGGAAUCCAACUUACAAGGGAUGCGAAGGACCUCUUCAAAGAGAACUACAAACCACUGCUCAAUGAAAUAAAAAAGGACACAAACAAAUGGAAGAACAUUUGAUUCUCAUGGAUAGGAAGAAUCAAUAUCAUGAAAAUGGCCAUACUGCCCAAGGUAAUUUAUAGAUUCAAUGCCAUCCCCAUCAAGCUACUAAUGACUUUCUUCACAGAAUUGGAAAAAACUACUUUAAAGUUCAUGUGGAACCAGAAAAGAACACAAAUUUCCAAGACAAUCCUAAGCCAAAAGAACAAAGCUGGAGACAUCAUGCUACCUGACUUCAAACUAUACUAAAAGGCUACAGUAACCAAAAGCAUAAAAAGUUUAAAAUGCUUGAUAUCAUGGUACUGGUACCAAAACAGAGAUAUAGACACACACCGGGGCCUGUUGGGGGGUGGGUGGAAGGGGGAGGUAUAGCAUUAGGAGAUAUACCUAAUGUAAAUGAUGAGUUAAUCGGUGCAGCACACCAACAUUGCACAUGUAUACAUGUGUAACAAACCUGCAUGUUGUGCACAUGUACCCCAGAACUUAAAGUAUAUACAUAAAAAAAAAUUACCCUUGCUAUAGCUCGAAGAGGAUUAGGCUGCCUUCAGCCAUAACUCUAUCCUGAGGCUUUUGCAAAAACCUUCUGGCCUUCCAAGAUGGUUUAUUUUACAAUUUUUCCCACCAUCCUGACUGAACCCCUACAAAGGAUCAAUCAAAUAUGCAUUUGUCUCAGGUGAGCCUCAGAUGGAUGACUUUGAAUAGAAUGGGAGGCAGGUUUGCCCUAAGCAGUUUCCAGCUCAUCUUUUCCCUUUAGCUUAGUAAUUUUGGGGUCCCAAGAUUUAUUUUCCUUUCACAUUUCCCCUGUUUUCUUAAUAAAAUCUUUCAGAAGAAGCAUUUUUGAAAAAACAAUGAGUCUCUGGUCUCAGGUUUUGUCUUAUCUCUCAUGGUUGGAAUAGUUUAUUAAUAGACAGGUAGGUCUCACAUUACGAGGAAAGCUCAUUUUUAGCAGGUUGUGAAGUCUCAUUUCCUACAAAGGGCAAAUGGGGGGAAGAAGGGAGAAAAACAACAACAAACAAAAAAGAACAAUCUUGGAAAAUCAAUAUAGGCCAUAUUACUCUGAAGUUCAUAUAUCAUUAGGCGUGUAUGAGAUUGGCUUAUGUAUGUAAAUAGGUUGCUGUUAUUUCCUUCUAAAGUUUAAGUUGUGUAGCUUUAUUUUGCAGGGCUUUAAGAAAGCACAGCUUAGUUUACAGUUAUUUCAAAUUAGGAAAAAUGGGGAAAAAGUGGGAAAAGAAAGAAGAAAACAAUUUGGAGACAUGACUUUGGAGAAGUGUAGCCAGGAAACAUUUUAGAAUUCAGUUCAAACUGCUGAAAAUAAUAAAAAUUGAAAAACAUUAGGCAAGAGUAGAAUAUAAUAGGUGUAAUAGUUUGUUUUGAAAUAUAAUUUCUCUCUCUUCAGUCUCCUAUUCUUAUUAAAAAAUAUUAAUAGCACCAAUUUAUUUGUAAAAGAACAAGCUCUAUUCUUAUGCUUGGCAUUAUUAUCUGUAUAAAGUGAAGCAAGGAUAAUUAUUUUUCACAUAGGCUUUUAAAUCCGCUUUUAUGGAACUCUUUCAAAUAAGACUUCUUUUUUCAGCUGAGCCCAGCCAUGGGUUUGUACCCUCAAAUACCUACGAGGUGAGCAAAUUCCUCUCCUCUUGAGGUCCCAAGAUAACUUGGGGCUGCUGGACUUGUGAGAAAGUGACAUUCUUUAGUUAUCACAGGUCAGAAAUCCUAUACAGGAACUCUGCAGACAAGGCAUCAGGCUGGUUUUUCCAGUGGGCUUUUAUUGGAUCUUCAAGUCAAGCUUGAUUCCUUAAAGGAAAGCACAUUCCAGUAAAAACCUUGGUAAAACAAGCAGUUUCUCCAAUUGUGUCCUGUUGCAAAAGGAAACUUUCUUAUUGCACUUAUGCAAAUAACUAUAUUUCCAUAAGUUAAAAAUACUCACAAAGUUUCCAAAUUCUAGAGAAAUUAGGUAGAAAGAAAUACGCUCCAAAUUUUGUUCACAGAAAUAUAUUUAACUCCAUUGUUUAAAUCUGUAAAUAGCUUAAAAGACAAGUUUCUUGACUCCAAAAAAAAAAAAGGAUCAGCAACGUUUUAAGCAAAAAGUCAAAAAGAUUACUUCAGUCUUCUAUUAAUUCAGUUCAUGAAGUUAACUCUUUUUUGAUAUUCAUGAACAUUUCAGCUCUCUAUGAGUUCUGAAGGUGUUUUCCUUCAUUUAAUGUCACAAUGUCCAAAGUUAUUAGAAAACUGCUUUCAAGAGCACCUAACAAAGUCCUACACAUUGAUUAGAAAUCACCUUUUGAAGAGUAUCAAAACAAGACAACAAUAGUCUGUGGAUGUCAAAUCUUAGGAUAGCCAUUAUUAAAAUCACAAUUGACUAGAAAUUCAUGACUUCUGUGGCAUACAAAAAUUUCACAUAACAAUUAUAAUUAUUAAUAACAUACAAUAAGUCAUAUUAAAAUUAUGAGUUUCCCAAAAUUUUGGGACAUAUAACUGUAACAUUUAUAUAAAUAUAGCCCAAAGAAAACCAAACAUUAUUUUAUAUUUGACAAUGCUUCCUAUGUGAUUUUUACAAAUAAGCUGAAUAUGUCUCAUUUGGACUUUAAGGAACUAAUAUCAGGAAAUAAUGAAAAUUAAUAUCAGAAAAUUAAUGAGGACCUAAGUUAGAAUUUGAGUUUGGAAAGUUUGCCAAACAUAAAAAGUUUAAAAUGCUUGAUAUCACAAAAUAUGAUCACAGAUCAUUAUAAAAUAAGUCAUUAAUUUAACCAAAGUGAUAAAGAUUCUUUUUUAAAAAGGUGAAAACCUUUAUUCUUUGAGAGCAGACAAUUUCACAAACAAUGACCUCUAUUAAAGACAGUGCAAGGCCAAUUAAAUCUGUCUCUCAAUAUCUUAUAAACAAUCUACAAGAUUUUAAUCAUCUUGACCAUAAGAUUAUUUCCAUAAACCUUCUUGUAACCUUUAUAAUUUGUAUUAUGGAGUCAGUUAACAUGCCAAGGAAACCUUGUUAAUCUGAGACAGGGGCCCAGAUGUUGGUUUUGUGUCAGUGUGCCAAUGAUAUUAAUGGUUAACUUCUAGAUAAACUGAACUAAUUUUCUAUCUUAAAAUUAGCCCUUACAAUCUCAUGUGUUCACCUUUUCCUAGAUAUUCCAUGGGCCUUGAGAUGUUGAAUAGUUUUAAUUUCUGGCCCUGUGUCCCACAAAGUUCAUUUUGAUUGGCAUCUUCUACUGGGUCUGAAGAUGAGAAUUUAAUUUAAGCUGUCAGUGUAUUAGAUUUAACAGGACUCGUUGUCCUUUUUAGACCCAGGAGUAAAAGCCCUGUGACUCAAUGGCAUAAGGACUUUAAAAGCACGUACAGAAAGUCACAUGGAUGUAAUUACCGUAAUUAAAAAUACUUUUUAGUCUGCCUUUUUCUAAGCAAACCAAAACUUAAUAAUGACAUGGGGAUUAUUUUGCAGAAACAUAAAAUCUGUUAGGCCAGUUGCAACUAAGCAAAAGAAAAGACCUUCUGCAGUGCACAGACCAUUAUGUUGGAAAAAAACAUUUCUGUUAGACCUUUAAAGAAACAUUUUUAGCAUCAGGCUAUAACAAACAGCUAGAACCCAAGGGGGAAAAAAACUUACAUGAACUGAAAAUGAGUUAAAGAAGAGUGUUAAUAUUUUUCACCUUUUAAAAGGGGAGCAAAAACCAUAAUGGUGAGAUACAAUAAAAGUUAAAGUUCAGGUUAAAAAAUUAAAAUCUGUUAUAAUUUAUUAAAAGUAAAUCAAUCUCUUAAUAAAAUUUCAUUGUUCUAACCAAUUCUUUAGUGUGCACCUGCUUUUUUGCUAUAGCAAAACCCAAUUUUUAGGAAGACUAUUAUAAAUAAUUUUCCUUUAAUUAUAGACAAUGUGAUAAAAAUAAUUUAUGACAUUCUUGAACAUUCUGUUUUAUCCCAGACAUCCUUCUUUCUUAAAUAACAAGUUAUUUUAUUUUUGGAUAAAAAUUUACAAGAUUACUUUUUAUAUAAAAUUAUUUUCCUUUUAACUUUUCUUGCCAAAAAAUACCUCUUUAUUUUUAUAAAUUUAUUUAAAUUGUUCUUAUUCACUGAUUACUUAUACUUAAAUUCACGAAUAACUUUUAAAUAACCUUUGAAUUAGAAAAAAAAAUUUCCUUUAAAUAAGAACAGAUUUUUUAGAAAAAUGUUGUUCUAUAAUUUAAAAAAACUGGAAAUGACCCAGAAAUUUAAUAAAUACUUGUUAUUUAGCUUAAUAUAACUUUAGAUUUUAAGUUAUAUGACAAGAUUAUCUACAAGCACCUAUUCCAUUAUAGUUACCUAAUUUUUUUUAAUAGUUUACUCACAUUCUUUAUGAAAACUGUGAUAAUUUUCAUUUAAAGUCAUUUCCUUUUUAACCAAUUUUAUAACAUGAAUUUCAGGUUUUUCUAAGGAAGAACCUUAAGGUUAGAUAAAUGUGUUAUUUUGUUUGUUUUUUUGUUGCCAAUAACUCAGGAUUUAGCUGUUUUCAUUAACUGAACAAUAUAUAAACCAAAAAUAAAAUUCUAAGGCUCCCCAGCCAACUGAAUGGAAUUCUUCCUCGUCCAGGGCUUUUAAAAUUUAAGAUUGGUUCAAGCCAUGAUGGGAAAUGGGGGUUAGACAUGCCUCAUUAUACCUCUCUGGCAUUAACAUCAACACAGACUUUAAGUCUGAUAAGAAACAUUUUAUGACUUAUUCUCUCUGAAGCCUUCUACCUGGAAACUUCGCCUGCAAAUAUAAUAAGAACUUGGGUCUCCACAAUCCUUUACCUUAACCCAGACUUUCCUUUCUAUUGAUCCCUGGUUUUUAGAAAAAUGUGACCAAUUGUCAACCACAAAAUGUUUAAAUUUACCUAUAGCCUGAAAACCCCUGCUUUGAGUUGUUUCACCUUUCUGGACCAAACCAAUGUAUUUCUUAAAUAUAUUUGAUGAAUGUCUCAUGCCUCUCUCAAAUGUAUAAAACCAAGCUGCACCCUGACCACCUUGGGCAAAUGUUCUUAGGACCUCCUGAGGGCUAUGUCACAAGUCAUGGUCACUCAUAUUUGGGUCAGAAUAAAUCUCUUCAAAUAUUUUAUAAAGUUUGACUCUUUUUGUCAGCAAAUAUUAAAUGCCUUAUUUAUUAAAUAUUACAUAAACAAAGAUAAUUCUCUUUUGGGCUGCAUUCAUAGCCUUUUAACCUUCAUGCCAAAUUUUAAUAUCUAGCAGAGAUAAAUAAUACAUGUUGGCAAUCCUGAAGUCAUUUCUAAUUCUAUUUCACCAAAAAUUUUAAAGCCAGCUUAUUUAUUAAAAAUUUGCUUAAGUAACAUGAACAUGAAAAAGCAUUUGGCUUAAGGUCUAUUUUUCUGAUAAAGUAUUUUAUUUAAGCACAUUUUUUUUUAGACAGAGCCUUGCUCUUUUGCCAAGGCUGAAUGAACUGCAGUGGUGUGAUCUUGGCUCACUGCAAACUUUGCUUCUCAGGUUCAAGCAAUUCUUGUACCUCAGCCUUCCGAGUAGCUGGGAUUACAGGUGCACACCCCCAUGCCUGGCUAAUUUUCCUAUUUUUAGUAGAGAUGGGGUUUCACCUUGUUGGCCAGGCUGGUCUCAAGCUCCUGGCCUCGAGUGAUCCGCCCACAUUGGCCUCCCAAAUUGAUGGUAUUACAGGCAUAAGCCACCACCCCUGGCUAAGAUUUAAGUUAUUUUUAAAGCCAAUUAGUUGCAGCUGUUUUAUACAUGUUUAGUAGUGAAAUAUCAUAUACACAGCACAUAAACACAGACUUAUUAGACACAUAGAAGUAGAUCUUACAGAUUCAUAAGACCCCUAUUUUCCUCUUAUUUUACACUUCCAAUUUCGUGAUAACCUAUUUUAUUACUCUAGGCAGUUGUCAGCAAGAUAGCCCCAAAUUUGCAUAUUAAAGAAACUCUUAGGUAAAAAAUCAGAUAACAAAAUUUACAUACCAUUGUACAGAGAGAAAGAGUCUGGUGGUGAAACAGGGGCAAGGCCAAGAUGCCGACUAGUAGCAGCGGUGAUUAGAGGCUCCCAUGGAAAAGAAACAUAAUAUCAUGCAACCUCUCAGCAGAAACCCUACAAGCCAGAAGAGAUUGGGGGCCAAUAUUCAACAUUCUAAAGAGAAGAAUUUUCAACCCAGAAUAUCAUAUCCAGGCAAACUAAGCUUCAUAAACAAAGCAAAGGAGAAAUAAUAUCCUUUCCAGACAAGCAAAUGCUGAGGAAUUUUGUUACCAACAGGCAUGCCUUAAAAGAGCUCCUGAAGGAAGCACUAAGUAUGGAAAGGAAAAACUGGUACCAGCCACUACAAAAACACAGCAAUAUAUAAAUGACAAUGACACCAUGAAGAAACUGCAUCAACUACUGUGCAAAAUAACCAAAUAGCAUCAUGAUGACAGGAUCAAAUUCAUAUGCAACAAUACUAACCUUAAAUGUGAAUGGACUAAAUGCCCCAAUUAAAAGACACGGACUGGCAUAUUGGAUAAAGAGUCAAGACCCAUCAGUGUGCUGUAUUCAGAAGAUCCAUCUUAUGUGCAAAGACACACAUAGGCUCAAAAUAAAGGGAUGGAGGAAAAUUUACCAAGCAAAUGGAAAACAAAAAAAGCAGGGGUUGCACUCCUAGUCUCUGACAAAACAGAUUUUAAUCAAAGAACAAAAAAGACAAAGAAGAGCAUUACAAAAUGGUAAAGGGAUCAAUUCAACAUGAAGAGCUACUAUCCUAAAUAUCUAUGCACCCAAUAUGUAAAUAAGUUCUUACAGACUGACAAACAGACUUAGACUACCACACAAUAAUAGAAAUUUUAACACCCCAUUGUCAAUACUAGACAGAUCAAUGAGAGAGAAAAUUAACAAGGAUAUUCAGGACUUGAACUCAGCUCUGGAUCAAGCGGUCCUAAUAGACAUCUACAGAAGUCUUCAUUCCAAAUCAAUAGAAUAUAUAUUCUUCUCAUUGCCACAUGGCAUUUAUUCUAAAAUUGACCACAUAAUUGGAAGUAAAACACUCCCCAGCAAAUGCAAAAUAACUGAAAUAGUAAAAAACAGUCUCUCAGACCACAGUGCAAUGAAAUUAGAACUCAGGAUUAAGAAACUCUCUCAACACCACAAAAUUACUUGGAAAUUGAAUAACGUGCUGCUGAAUGACUCCUGGAUAAAUAAUUAAAUUAAAGCAGAAAACAAGAAGUUAUUUGAAACCCAUGAGAACAAAGAGACAAUGUACUGGAAUCUCUGGGACACAGCUAAAGCAGUGUUAAGCAGGAAAUUUAUAGCACUAAAUGCCCAUAAUAGAAAGCUAGAAAGAUCUCAAAUCAAUGCCCUAAUAUCACAAUUAAAAGAUCUAGAGAAGCAAGAGCAAAUUAAUUCUAAAGCUAGCAGAAGACAAGAAAUACCUAAUAUCAGAGUAGAAUUGAAGACAUAGAGACAUGAAAAACCCUCCAAAAAAUCAAUGAAUCCAGGAGCUGGUUUUCUGAAAACAAAACAAAACAAAAUAGAUAGACUGCUAGCUAGACUAAUAAAGAAGAAAAAAGAGAAGAAUAGAAAAUAGAAAAAUGAUAAAGAGGAUAUUGCCACUGACCCCACAGAAAUACAAACUACCAUCAGAGAGUACUAUAAACACCUCUACACAAAUAAACUAGAAAAUCUAGAAGAGAUGAAUAAAUUCCCGGACACAAACAUCCUCCAAAGAAUAAACUGGGAGGAAGUUAAAUCCAUGUAUAGACUAAUAGCAAGUUUUAAAAUUGAGGCAGUUAUUAAUAGCCUACAAACCAAAAAAAAAAAAAAAAAAAAAAAAAAAAAAAAAAAAAAAAAAAAGCCCAGGACCAGAUGGAUUCACAGCCAAAUUCUACCAGAGGUGAAAAGAGGAGCUGGUACCUCCUCUUUGUUCCUUCUGAAACUAUUCCAAACAAUUGAAAAAGAAGGGACUCCUCCCUAACUCAUUUUAUGAAGCCAGCAUCCUCCUGGUACCAAAACCUGGCAGAGACAUAACAAAAUAAGAAAUCUGCCAGAGACACAACAAAAUAAGAAAACUUCAGGCCAGUAUCUCUGAUGGACAUUGAUGCAAAAAUCCUCAAUAAAAUACUGGCAAACCAAAUUCAGCAUCACAUCAAAAAGCUUAUCCACCACGAUCAAGUCGGCUUCAUCCCUGGGAUGAAAGGCUGUUUCAACAUAUGAAAUUAAAUAAACAUAAUUCAUCACAUACACAGAACCAAAGACAAAAAGCACAUGAUUAUCUCAACAGAUGCAGAAAAGGCCUUUGAUAAAAUUCAGCAUUCCUUCAUGUUAAAAAUUCUCAAUAAACUGGGUAUUGAUAGAACAUAUCUCAAAAUAAUAAGAGCUAUUUAUGACAAACCCAUGGUCAAUAUCCUAUUGAAUAGGCAAAAGCUGGAAGCAUUCCCCUUGAAAACCUGUACAAGAUAAGGGUGCCCUUUCUCACCACUCUUAUUCAACAUAGUAUUGGAGGUCCUGGCCAGGGCAAUCAGGCAAGAGAAAGAAAUAAAGCGUAUUCAAAUAGGAAGAGAGGAAGUCAAAUUGUCUCUGUUUGCAGACGACAUGCUUCUACAUUUAGUAAACUCCAUCAUCUCAGCCCAAAAACUCUUUAAGCUGAUAAGCAACUUCAGCAAAGUCUCAAGAUACAAAAUCAAUGUGCAAAAAUCACAAGUAUUCCUUUCUACCAACAAUAGACAAGCAGAGAGCCAAAUCAUAAAUGAACUCCCAUUCACAAUUGCUGCAAGAAUAAAAUACCUAGGAAUACAGUUAACAAGGGAUGUGAAGGACCUAUUCUAGGAGAACUACAAACCACUGCUCAAGGAAAUAAAACAAGACACAAAUGGAAAAACAUUCCAUCCUCAUGAAUAGGAAGAAUCAAUACAAUGAAAAUGGCCAACUGCCUAAAGUAAUUUAUAGAUUCAAUGCUAUUCCCAUAAAAAUACCAUUGACAUUGUUCACAGAACUAGACAUAACUACUUUAAAUUUCAUGUGGAACCAAAGAAGAGCCCAUAUAGCCAAGAUAGAUAAUCUUAAACAAGAAGAACAAAGCUGGAUGCAUCAUGCUACCUGACUUCAAACUAUACCACAAGGCUUCAGUAACCAAAACAGCAUGGUACUGGUACCAGAACAGACAUAUAGACCAAUGGAACAGAACAGGGACCUCAGAAACAACACCACACACCUAAACCAUUUAAUCUUCAACAAAUCUGACAAAAACAAGCAAUGGGAAAAGGAUCUCCUAUUUAAUAAAUGGUAGUGGUAAAACAGGCUAGCCAUAUGCAGAAAACUGAAACUGGAACCCUUCUUUAUACCUUAUAUAAAAAUUAACUCAAGAUCUAUUGAAGACUUAAAUGUAAAACCCAAACCCAUAAAAACCCUAGAGGAAAACCCAGACAAUACCAUUCAGCACAUAGGUAUGGGAAAAGACUUCAUGACAAAAAUACCAAAAGCAAUUGAAGCAAAAGCCAAAAUUGACAAAUGGGAUCUAAUUAAACUAAAGAACUUCUGCACAGCAAAAGAAACUAUCAUCAGAGUACAGGCAACCUACAGAAUGGGAGAAAAUUUUUCCAAUCUACCCGUCUGACAAAGGUCUAAUAUCCAAAAUCUACAAGGAACUUAAACAAAUUUACAAGAAAGAAACAUGCAACCCCAUGAAAAAGUGGGCAAAGGAUAUAAACAGACACAUCUCAAAAUAAGACAUUUAUGUGGCCAAGAAACAUAUGAAAAAUAAAAGCUCAACAUCACUGAUCAUUAGAGAAAUGCAAAUCAAAACCACAAUGAAAUUCCAUCUCAUGCCAGCUAGUACAAAUUGCUCAUAUUUUAAAAGUAACCAGUAUCAAAUUGGAAAGGAUUUGAUUUAGGAGCCAAACCAAGGCUAUCAUAGUGGAAAAAAAAAAAAAAAGAAAAAAAAAGACAGAACCUUAACAAUGGAUCUGCAGUGUGGGGCAACAGCCAUUGCUCUUACCAUUCGGCUUGGCUAGCAAAAUGUGGCCCUGUUAGACAAAUAAAGUCCCUUUUUUAGUCAAAAGAAAAAAAUCUCUCCCCUUUUUAUUUUGUGGGAAUUUAGACACUUCAGAGGCCUUGUUCCCAUAAAUUGGAACUUUCCUUCAGAUUUCAUCAUGUCAGAUAGAGUUGAUCAAACCCAGUAGGAAAAAGACUGAAACAAUAACAAAAACAGAAACAAUUACAAAGGCAACAACAACAACAAAAAAAAACAAUUAAGCAAAACAAAUGAAUAUUACAAUUUAUAUGAAUACUGAGCACUCUAAUGGUAAAGAUAAAUUAACACCAGCUGAUUUUUAAUCUUAACUUUAGCCCACAAAAAAACAAACAAAAAAUAAAAAUAAAAAAAAAACAAUUCAGCUACUUACCUAGGAAUGGGUCUUAGGCUGAAGACUGCUAUCUACCAUCCUAGAAGCAGGAAAAAACUCAGACUUGCCUUCCCUUUUGGAAGUUUGCUCAAACUCCAGAAAGGACUUACCUUCCUUCCAACAUCAUGGAAGCAGGAAAACUUGCCUUCCCUGUAAGAAGCAAGUGAAACUCCAAAAGGAGGAGUUGUACAGCAAAAUAAGCUUUAGAUCUUAACCAAAUUUGGGGAGAUCAGGGAUUUUCUGGAGGGGGAGCUUACAGGCCUCAGCAAAUUGCCCUAUUGGUUUGAGCCAUAAAAAAGCUCAAGCUGGUACCAAGCACCUAUAGGAGAUUCGUCAAAGUCAGGGGCACCUCCCCUCAGAAUCCCUCUGUGGUUACUGAUUGUGAAUGCAAAAUAUCUGACACAGGUCUCAGUCAAUUUAGAAAGUUUAUUUUGCCAAGGUCAAAAAUACACCUGUGAUACAGCCUCAGGAAGCCCUGAGACAUAUGCCCAAGGUGGUCAGGGGUAUAGUUUGCUUUUAUACAUUUUAGGGAGACAUGAAACAUCAAUCAAUAUGUGUAAGAUGUACACUGGUUUGGUUCAGUAAGGUGGGACAACAUGAAGUGGGGCUUUGAAGUUAGAAGUAGAUAAGAGAAAAAAGGUUGGAUUCUUUUGAGUCUUUGAUCAGCCUUCCACUGAAUACACAAUUUAGUCUGGCUCACUGAAUCUGCAUUUAUACAUAAACAAUAGGGGAUAGGGAGUAAUCAAACAUGUAUUUGUCUCAGGUGAGCCUCGGAGGGAUGACUUUGAUUAGAAUGGGAGGCAGGUUUGCCUGAAGAAGUUCCCAGCUUGACUUUUCCCUUUAGCUUAGUCAUUUUUGGGUCCCAAGAUUUAUUUUCUUUUGACACAAAUUACAAAGAAACAAAGACAAGUUAAAACCAAUGUGGUGAUAAAAAUUCACUUUUAUCUAUAUUAAUGUUAAUGUAAUGUUUUACAUUUCCCAAUUAUCAAAUUAUGCAAGGGAAUUAUAAAACAAAAAUCAUAUUUUGAAGAAGCAUGCAAUUUCUUAAAAUAAUUUGGAGAAAAUGUUUUUCUAGAACAUAGCUUCAUGUUCCUAUUUGAUUUCACCUUUGAUUGUGAUGUGGGUGUUUUAUUCAAAUAGCUACUGUCAAAUUUCCAGUGCUUUAAAUCACCUAAUUAACUUUUCAUUUUCACUAUUGGAUAAAGUUAGACUUAUUCCUUGGCCUAGAAAGCAUUUGCUUUUUCAUGUGGUUUCUUUUCUUUAUGUAAUUUUAUGUAUUCUCAUUUAAAAAAAUGAGAUAGGUGAACUAUGUUAAAAUAUAUAUGCAAAACAUAGCUUAUCUUAGAAUUACAACAUUUUCAAAUGAGGAAAUUUAGUUAAUUUAAUUAUGAAUCUAUGCAAGUAUUUAUAUACAGACUUCAAGCAUAUUAUGGUUGUUUUUCCUGGUGGAGUGACCCAAACCUUCAUUUCUGAACGGUCUGAGCCAUUGUUAGUCCUGCCUCGAUUGAGCUGUUAUAGUUUCCCAUUGACUUUAAUCACAGGGCAUGGUAAUACUAAGAGAUGCCCCAAGGGAUUGCCUGUAUUCUGUGCAUACUCUUCCUUACCCCCACUGUGGAGUAGUAGACUGAUUUCAUCUUGAUAGUCCGGGUCAAUGACCCCAGCAAACACUGUAACUCCUUUCUUAGCUUGUUGACUUAAAGGUAGGAGGAGCCCAAAGUGUCUAGGAGGCAAUCUUAACUUCCAGUUUAAUUGAAACAUGUGUCUCUUCUGGUAUUAAGACCUCUAGGCCAGCAGAAUGUAACCUCAUAGGAACAAGAAGGAAACAUUUUGCUAGUGGAUCACUAGGGGUGAUGGUGAGUGGUGUCACUUCCACUUCCACCCCUUGAUUUUGGGACCUGUGAAUCCUGGCUAUGGGAGAAAAAGUACCAUAUAUUGGAUGCUGAUUUAGAGCAUUCCUGGCCUUCUGGAGAACUUUGCCCCAGCCCUGAAAAGUAUUGUCACCUAGAUGGCACUGUAAUUGUGACUUGAAAAGGCCAUUCCACCAUUCUAUCAGUCCAGCUGCUUCAGGAUGAUGGGGAACAUGGUAAGAUCAGUGAAUUCUAUGAACAUGAGUCCACAGCCACACUUCUUCAGCCGUAAAGUGAGUGCCUUGGUCAAAGGCAAUGCUGUGUGGAAUACCAUGACAGUGGAUAAGGCUUUCUGUGAGUCAAAGGAUGGUAGUCUUGGCAGAAGCAUUGUGUGCAGGAUAGACAAACCCAUAUCCAGAGUUGGUGUCUAUUCCAGUGAGGACAAACCUCUGCCCUUUCCAUGAUGGAAAAGGGCCAAUAUAAUUAGUCUGCCACCAGUUAGUUGGCUGAUUACCUUGAGGAAUGGUGCCAUAUCGAGGGCUCAGUGCUGGUCUCUGCUCCUGGCAAAUUGGUCAUAGCCAGAUCAGCCUUGGUGAGUGGAAGUACAGAUUGCUGACCCCAUGCAUAAUCUCCAUCCCUGCCACAAUGGCCACUUUGUUCAUGGACCCAUUGGGCAAUGACAGAGCUGGCUGUGAGAAGAGGCUGAGUGGUGUCCACAGAACGAUUCAUCCUAUCCACUUGAUUAUUAAUCUUCUCCUUUGCUGAGGUCACCCAUUGAUGGAAAUUCACAUAAGAUACAAAUAUCUUCACAGUUUUUGACCACUCAGAGAGGUCCAUCCAUAUACCUCCUCUCCACAUUUCUUUGUCACCAAUUUUCCAAUCAUGCUUGUUCCAAGUCUUUGAACAUCCAGCUAAACCAUUGGCUAUAGCCCAUGAAUCAGUAUAUAAUCACAUAUCUGGUCAUUUCUCCUUCCAUGCAAAGUGCAGAAUUGAGUUCACUGAUUGAAAUUCUGUCCACUGGAAAGAUAUCCUUUCACUGCUGUCCUUCAGGGAUGUCCAAAAAUUGUGUUGUAAUGCUGUUGCUGUCCACUUUUGGUUGGUGCCUCCAUAUUGUGCAGAACCAUCUGUAAACCAGGCCCUAUUCUUCUCUUCCUCUGUCAACUAAUCAUAGAGAACUCCCCAUGAGGCCAUAAGUGGAGGCUGGGGGAAAGAAGGCAGGGUGCCGGGAGUGGAGACCAUGGGCAUUAUAGCCACUUCCUCAUGUAACUUACUUGUGUCUUCAGGACCUAACUUUAGUUAACAUUCAUUUCAUAAAUAAGAGAAGCAAUUUCAUAAUCUUAGUCAUACAUAAAAUGACAUCAAAAUGUUUUUCAUUAUAUUUUCUGUCUUUUUUUGUGUAUACAUAUAUACAUAUGUGUAUAUAUACUAUCAGUUAUAUGUGAGUGUAGUAGUAUUUUAAAAUAAAUAUACAUAUAUUGGAAAUAUAUGUUUUUUUCUGAAAGGAAAUACUUAAAAAGUAUUAAACCCCAUUGCUUAUUUUUCAAGUCUAAACCUGUGAAAACAAAACGUGUGAAAACAGAUAAUACAGAAUAUCACAAAGGAUAUUUCUGGUCACAUGUGUAGAAAUGUAUACUUCAAAUAAUCCUAACCUAAUAAAAUUACAUUAGAUUUAGAUUAUGUUCCAGCAAAAUUAUGCAUAGGUAGUGUUAAAACUAUAAUUGGCUUUUCACUCUAGAUUCAAUGCUUUAGUCAUUUCCCCUUAUAACAGUACUUUAAUUAUUUUGUACUCAUUAAAGUCACAAUUAUGCCUCUAACAGACAUUAUCCUCUUCAGCUGGAAAGGGAUAUGUCAGCUCAACUAUGCGUGCUAGUUUAAAUUCUAGUUAUAUGUAUUUCUUAUUUCAUAGUACAGUUUGAAAAAAGGAUUUCCAGAAGGUGUAAACAAAAGAAAAUAUCAUAAGCUCCUCCUCCACCCUCCCAAGAUUAGAAAGUAACAUUUUCAGAGUGAAGCCAAGUAAAGAGUAAAAAUACCCACAUAUCAUAAGCCUAAAUGUUUAAAAUUUAUUUAUCUAAACAUGGUUAAAGCCUGGUUCAUAAACCCAGGUUUUCAAAUAAGACUCUGUAACCUGCUCCACAGGGAGAGCCCUGGAGAACAGGAAGUUGUACUUCACCCUGGGUCAGCACUCAACCUGGUGGGCCUUAGGGCUUGCACGGAUCUUCUGGGCAGGCCAAGAUGGAAGCUAAGUCCUGUGGUCAGGACUUUUGGGAAGUGAUUGAAACUGCUUGAACUCUAGAUAGGAACUGAAUUGAUUAAGGGCCCCAGGAAGCAAGGGCUAGCAGAAUCUCUCUCACAUCAACUUGUUAUUCUGACUCAGGAUAUACAGACCCAUAUUAAAUGCCUUUCAAAAGUUCUUCACAGCAGGAAAAGAGAGAGUACUUGCUGAGUUAUCUAGAGAACCUGGUCUGCCUAGACACCAGCUUCAGAUGAUUUGGAGUACCAAAUUUAAACAAAAGCAGCCCUUUUUAAGUUCCCUGAACAGUAGAUAUGAUUCUUUCCUCCCCCUAGAAAUACUCAUAUGAUCUCAACUUCAUGUCCUAGAGUCUAGGAGAUCUAAUUUACUUGCACAUUUCUCCUUCGUAAUUAUAAUGUAUUCUAACCACUUCAUUUCGCCCUCAAAUAUAAACACUCGUGUAAUUUUUUCCUGCACUUUUUUGUUUUCAUUUUUAUUUUAAGAUAAAUAAUUUAUUAUUACCUGAAGAAAUGAAUGCUCUGAUUGCUUCCUUCUAGAAGGAGAGCAGGUCAACAUCAUGUGGUACACUGUGGCAGUAACUAAUGAUAUGCAAUAACCCUUCAGCCUCCCACUCAUUCCAGUUCACCCAUUUAUGGCUCCAAAUAUCUUGUAUGCAAACACUAUGCUUCUAUAAUUUCAAAUGUGGGAACUCCCUUGGCAUGAGAUGGGGACAAAACAUAUUAAAAAAAUGAAUAGCUUUGGUGAUGCUGAUUCAAUUAAACCUCAGCAACCUCUCCUCUUUCUGCUUCUGCUUUGUCCCAAGCAAGGCAGACAAUGAUAUAGAUGAACACAGUAGAAGUUACUGUAGCUGAAUUCUCUUUCUAAUUAGCUGUUGAAUACCAGUAGAGUGCCAAGAUGUGGCAAACAUUAGCUUCCAGAAAUGAGAAACGAAUUAAUUUAGGAGAGAUUCUAGGCAAAAGAUAUAUAAUGAAGAGGUGAAUAGCAAAGAUUUUACCUUAAAUUUGAAAAUUUACAGAUAAGAGCAAGCCCUGAUAUUAUGAUUACCUUUAGCAUUUAUUUAUUUUCUCUUCUCAGUACUCUUUCCCAAAUUUAAUCCUAUUCUCACAUUUAGACACCUAAUGUUUCAUACUUCCCAAACACCUACCUUAAUUAUUAGGCUGCUGCAGUAUGGAUUUAUUAUACCUUUGGAAGCUAAUGGCAAAUGCCAGUGGUUUAUCACAUUUGAUUAUAAAAUUUCCUCUCCUGAUUCUAAAGGUAGGACAUCCAUCUCUCUUUUUUUCCUCUUCAUACAUUUUCCCCUUGAUUCUCUCUUGAAUCAGUAAAAAAGCUAUCUCUGGCCAAUCGAUUUACCUACAUAUGCUGCUAUCCCAGAUCAUAAAUAAUGUUUCUUUCCUAGUUGUUACUUAAAAUAAUUACAUUUUUUAAAGUUUUCUUUUUUAGUUUUUAAACUAACAUAAAGAACAUUUAACAUACCAUAACAUACACCUAUUUUAAUUGUACAUUACCAUGAGUAUUGGUAUGCAGUUUUUAGAAUAUUUUCUUAUUAUACUUUUAAUCAUAAUAUUGGUAACCUUUUCUUCUCUCCUUUAUUAAUGAUAACAUUGGCUUGAAUUUUGUCAAUUUUGUUAAUCGUUCAUUAAACCCUCUUUUUGUUACAUUCUCUUACUCUCUUUCCCUAUUUGUUGAUUUUCACUCUUACUGUUUUUUUUUUUUUUUCCUAUACUUACUUUAUGUUUUGGAUUCAAAAUGUUCUUUCUUUCUAGAUUCCUAGAGAUAGGGCAGGGUUAGCUCAUUGAUUUUAAGGGUUUUUUUUUUCCUGUUUUUUCUUUUAUUGUAUGUGUUUAUCAUGUACAACAUAAUGUUCUGAAACAUGUAUACAUUGUGGAAUGUUUGAAUUCAGCUAAUUAACUUAUGCUUUAUUUUAUAUACUUAUCUUAUUUGUAUUGAGAAUGCUUAUGUCUUACUUCAUUCUUAUGCUGCUAUAAAGAACUGCUCAAGAGCACAUAAUUAAUAAAGGAAAGAGGUUUAAUUGAUUCACAGUUCCACAGGGCUGAGGAGGCCUCAGGAAACUUACAAUCAUGGUGGAAGGGGAAGAAAACAUGUCCUUCUUCACAUGAUGGCAGGAAGGAGCAGUUCAGAACAAAGGGGGAAAAACCUCUUAUAAAACCAUCAGAUCUCAUGAGAACUCACUCACUAUCAUGAGAACAGCAUGGGGGAAACAACCCCAUAACCGAAUUACCUUUCACAAGAUCCGUCACCCAAGAUAAUGGAAUUUUAAUUCACAUUACAAUUCAAGAUGAGAUCUUGGUUGGAGACAUAGCCAAGCAAUAUUAUUCCACCCCUGUCCUCUGCCAGAUCUUAUGUCCUCACAUUUCAAAACACAAUCAUGCUUUUCCAAUAGUCUCCCAAAGUCUUAACUCAUUCCAGCAUUAACCCAAAAGUCCAAAUCCAAAGUCUCAUCUGAGACAAGGCAAAUCCCUUUUGCCUAAAAGCCUGUAAAAAUCAAAAUCAAAUUAGUUAAUUCCAGGAUACAAUGGGGGUACAGGCAUUGAGCAAAUACACCCAUUCCAAAUGGCAGAAAUUGGCCAAAACAAAGAGACUACAGGCCCCAUGCAAGUCUAAAAUCCAGUGAGGAAGUAAUUAAAUCUUAAAGCUCCUAAAUAAUCUCCUUUGACUCCAUGUCUCACAUCCAGGUCAGACUGACGCAAGAGGUGGGCUUCCACAAUCUUGAGCAGCUCCAACCCUGUGGCUUUGCAGGGUACAGCUUCCCUCCAGGUUGCUCUCAUUGGCUGGCAUUGAGUGUCUGUAGCUCUCCAAGUGCAUGGUGCAAGCUGUAGGUGGAUCUAUAAUUCUGGGGUCUGGCAGAUGGUGGCCCACUUCUCACAACUCUAUUAGGCAGUGCCCCAGUGGAGACUCUGUGUGGGGCCUCCAACCUCACAUUUCCCUUCUACACUGCCCUAGCAGAGGUUCUCCAUGAGGACUCCAUGCCUGCAGCAAACUUUUGCCUUGACAUCCAGACAUUUUCAUACUUCCUCUGAAAUCUAUGUGGAGGGUCUCAAACCUCAAUUCUUGACUUCUGAGCACCUGCAGACUCAACACCACAUGGAAGCUGCCAAGGCUUGGGGCUUGCACACUCUGAAGUAAAGGCCUGAGUUCUACAUUUAGCAUGCUGGGAUACAGGGCAUCAACUCCCUAGGCUGCACACAGCAUGGGGGUCCCAGGCCUGGCCCAUGAAAUAAUUUUUCCCCUGUAGGCCUCUGGGUCUGUGAUGGGAUGGGGCUGCUAUGAAUGUCUCUGACAUGUCCUGGAGACAUUUUCCUCAUUGUCUUGGUGAUUAACAUUUGGCUCCUUGUUACUAAUAUGAAUUUCUGCAGCUGGCUUGAUUUUUUCCCCAGAAAAUUGUUUUUUUCUUUUCUGUCACAUCAUUAGGCUGAGAACUUUCCAAACGUUUAUGCUCUUUUUCUUGAAUGAUUUGUUACUUAUAAUUUUUUUCUGCCAGAUACCCUAAAUCAUCUCUCUCAAGUUCAAAGUUACACAGAUCUCUAGGGCAGGACAAAAUGCUGCCAGUCUCUUUGCUAUGGCAAAGCAAGGAUUACCUUUAUUCCACUUCCCAAUAAGUUCCUCAUCCUCAUCUGAAACUAGCUCAGCCUGGACUUCAUUGUUCAUAUCACUAUCAGCAUUUUGGUAAAAAACCAUUAGACAAGUCUCUAGGAAGUUCCAAACUUUUCCACAUUUUCUUGUCUCCUCCUGAGUCCUCCAAACUGUCCCAACCUCUGCCUGUUACCCAGUUCCAAAGUCACUUCCACAUUUUUGUGUAUCUUUAUAGCAGUACCCCCCACUCUACAGUGCCAAUUUACUGUAUUAGGUUUGUUCUCAUGUUGCUAUAAAGAACUGCCCAUGAAUGGGUAAUUUAUAAAGGAAAGAGGUUUAAUUAAUUCACAGUUCUACAGGGCUUGGGAGGCCUCAAGAAGUUUAUAAUCGUGGUGGAAGGAAAAGCAAACAUGUUCUUCUUUACAUGGCGGCAGGAAGGAGAAAUGCAGAGCAAAGGGGGUAGUGGGGAAUCCCCUUAUAAAACCAUCAGAUCUCUUGAGAACUCACUCACUAUCAUGAGAACAGCAUGGGGGAACUGCCCCAUAAUCUAAUCACCACCCACAAGAUCCCUCCCCCAACAUGUGGGGAUUAUAAUUCAAGAUCAGAUUUUGGGCUGAGACACAGACAAACCAUAUCAGCCUAUGUAUUAGUCCAUUUUCACACUGUUGAUAAAGACAUACCCAAGACUGGGCAAUUUACGAAAGAAAGUUUAGUCAACUUAGAGUUCCACAUGGCUGGGGAGGCCUCACAAUCAUGGCAGAAUGUGAAAGGCACAUCUCACGUGAUGUCAGAAAAGAGAAGAGAGCUGUUCAGAGAAACUCCCCUUUUGAAAACCAUCAGAACUCAUGAGACUUAUUCACUAUUGUGAGAACAACAUGAGAAAGACCUGCCCCUCUGCCCCCAUGAUUCAAUUACUUCCCACUGGGUCUCUCUCACAACACAUGGGAAUUCAAGUUGAGAUUUAAAUGGUGACACAGCCAAACCAUAUCAUUUCACCCUGUCACCUCCCAAAUCUCAUGUCCUCACAUUUCAAAACAAAUAAUGCCUUCCCUACAGCCCCUAAAGUCUUAAUUCAUUUCAGCAUUAACUCAAAAGUCCACAGCCCAAAGCCUCAUCUGAAACAACACAAGUCCCUUCUGCCAAUGAGACCGUAAAAUCACAAGCAAGUUAGAUACUUCCUAGAUACAGUGGGGUUACAGGCAUUGGGUAAAUACAGACAUUACAAAUGGAAAAAAAUUGGCCAAAACAGAGGGGCUACAGGCCCUAUGCAAGUCCAAAAUCCAGCAGGGUAGUCAAAUCUUAAAGCUCCAAAAUGAUCUCCUUUGACUUUAUAUCUCACAUCCAGGUCAUGCUGAUGCAAAAUGUGGGCUCCCACAGCUUUGGGCAUCCCCACCCCUGUGGCUUUGCAGGGUAUAGACCCCUCCUGGCUGCCUUUCAGGCUGCCAUUGAGUGUCUGUUGCUUUCCCAGGUGCAUGGUGCAAGCUGCUCCUUGAUCUACCAUUCUGGGGUAUGGAGGUUGGUGGCCCUCUUCUCACAGCUCCACUAGGCAGUGCCUCAGUGGGGACUCUGUGUGAGGGCUCCAACCCCACAUUUCCCUUCCACACUUCCCUAGCAGAGAUUCUCUCUGAGGGCUCCGCCCCACAGUAAACUUCUGCCUGAACAUUCAGGCAUGUAUAUACAUCCUCUGAAAUCUAGGUGGAGGUUCUCAAACACCAUUUCUUGACUUCUGUGCACUCACAGGCUCAAUAUCACGUGGAAGGUGCCAAGGAUUGGGGCUUACACCAUCUGAAGCCACGGCCCAAGCUCUAUACUGGCCCCUUUUAGCCACAGCUGGAGCAGCUGAGACACAGGGUACCAACUCUCUAGGCUACAUACAUCAUGGGGACCCAAGGCCUGGCCCACAAAACCACAUUUUCCUCCUAGUCCUCCAGGCCAGUAAUGGGAGAGGCUGCUGUGAAGACAUGUGACAUGCCCUGGAGACAUUUUUCUUAUUGUCUUGGGGAUUAACAUUCGGCUCCUUGUUACUUAUGCAAAUUUCUGCAACUGGCUUGAAUUUCUCCUCAGAAAAUGGGAUUUUCUUUUCUGUUGCAUUGUCAGGCUGCAAAUUUUCCAAACUUUUAUGCUCUGUUUCCCUUAUAAACCUGAAUGCCUUUAACAGCACCCAAGUCUGUUAUAAAACUGAAUGUCUUUAACAGCACCUCUUGAAUGCUUUGCUGCUUAGAGAUUUCUUCUGCCAGAUAACCUAAUUCAUCUCUGUCUAGUUCUAAGAUUCACAAAUCUCUAGGGCAGUCUCUUUGCUAAAACAUAACAAUAGUCACUUUUGCUCCAGUUCCCAACAAGUUCCUCUUCUCCAUCUGAGACCACCUCAGCCUGGAUUUCAUUGUCCAUAUCAUUAUCAGCAUUUUGGUGAAAGCCAUUAAACAAGUCCCUAGGGAGUUUCAAACUUUCCCACAUUUUCCUAUCUUCUUCUGAGCCUUCCAAAUUAUUCCAACCUCUGCCAUUUUCUCAGUUCCAAAGUCAUUUUCACAUUUUUGGGUAUCUUUUCAGCAAUGCCCCACUCUACUGGUACCAAUUUACUGUAUUAGUCUGUUUUUAUGCUGCUGAUAAAGACAGACCCAAGACUGGGCAAUUUACAAAAGAAACAGGUUUAAUCGACUUACAGUUCCAAGUGACUGAGGAGGCCUCACCAUCAUGACAAAAAGUGAAAGGCACAUCUCACAUGGCAGCAGAUAAGAGAAGAGAGCUUGUGCAGAGAAACUCCCUUUUUUUAGAUCUCAUGAGACUUAUUCACUAUCAUGAGAACAGUACUAGAAAGACCUACCCCCAUGAUUCAGUUGCUUCUCACUGGGUCCCUCCCACA
rnacentral:lncRNA from 1 species